UACGGAGGAUGCGAGCGUUAUCCGGAUUUAUUGGGUUUAAAGGGUGCGCAGGCGGUCGGAUAAGUUAGAGGUGAAAUCCCGAGGCUCAACUUCGGAAUUGCCUCUGAUACUGUUCGGCUAGAGAGUAGUUGCGGUAGGCGGAAUGUAUGGUGUAGCGGUGAAAUGCUUAGAGAUCAUACAGAACACCGAUUGCGAAGGCAGCAUACCGGCGCUCAACUGACGCUGAGGCACGAAAGCGUGGGGAGCAAACAGG
rnacentral:rRNA from 1 species